CCCUGAAGUUUUUAUAGUUUUAUCUGGAGAAGCACUGGCUUGCACAGUCUUAAAUUCCUGGUGGUCGGGGGGUGAUGCGGUGGUGGUAGAGAUCAACAUUUGUAACUAACGAGUGCAUAACUUGAGUUCAUUGUUCUUAGCCAGACAGGUAUUUCUGUUACAUGAAGUUCAAGGGGAAAAAAAAGAAAAGCAGCUUGCUAAGUGGAGAAAGAUGUAGGAAACUAUUAAGUAUAUGAGGAGAACAAAGGAAGCAUUGUCUGUUCAUUAGACUGCAGGAAUAAGGCCAAGAGUGGGCAUUAUGAGGUCAGAAGCUCUUUAACCUAUUAAAAGUAGCUUUUACUAAAAUGGUAACCAGAUGGUACCAUCUGGAAUGAGAGACAUGAAUCGUACAAAACUCAAUAUAGAGCAAUGUUUGUGAUGAAUUGUUCUGUCAACAAAGAGGAGGUUCUAAGAUACAAAACCCCAGAGAACAGGAAGAAGAGGCGAGGCCAUAAGAAGAUGAGGACCAACCGUGAAGAUGCUGCAGAGCAGGCAGAGACGGAAGUGGAGGAAAUCUAUCACCCAGUUGUGUGCACCGAGUGUGCCACUGAAGUGGCAGUCUACGACAAGGAUGAAGUCUUUCAUUUUUUCAACGUUUUAGCAAGUCAUUCCUAAGUAGCUAAGUUGGCGUUUAAUUGCCCAAUACUGUGUAUAAGGCAAGUAUGGACAGUUAUUUUUCUCCUGCCUCUUCAUAUCAAGUGACAUUCUAGUGGUUGUGUUUUGUCUUUAUCUUUUUGAAAGAGAAUGGUUAUCAUCCUUCAUCCCUCCCCCUCCUUUUUUAAAAACUUUUCCACAGCUCUGAUGGGACUGGUAAUUCAUUCCUUUUUGAUGGACCUUUGGAAACUGUGGGGCUUUUUAUUUAUCAAAGCCCUUUAAAAUUAAAGUGUUCUGGAGUUACAAGUAA